GUCCUAGCCCUAAACGAUGGAUGCUUGGUGUAGCGGGUACCCAAUCCCGCUGUGCCGGAGCUAACGCGUUAAGCAUCCCGCCUGGGGAGUACGGUCGAAAGGCUGAAACUCAAAGGAAUUGACGGGGGCCCCGCACAAGCGGUGGAGCAUGUGGUUCAAUUCGACGCAACGCGAAGAACCUUACCUGGGCUCGAAGCGCAGUGGAUAGGAGUGGAAACACUCCUUCCCGCAAGGGCUGCUGCGUAGGUGCUGCAUGGCUGUCGU
rnacentral:rRNA from 1 species